rnacentral:rRNA from 1 species
UGGGGAAUCUUGCACAAUGGGCGAAAGCCUGAUGCAGCAACGCCGCGUGAGUGAGGAAGGCCCUUGGGUUGUAAAGCUCUUUCGGCUGGGAGGAGGCGGAUUUGCGUUAAUACCGCAGAUCUGUGACAGUACCAGCAUAAGAAGCACCGGCUAAUUCCGUGCCAGCAGCCGCGGUAAUACGGGAGGUGCAAGCGUUGUUCGGAGUAACUGGGCGUAAAGGGCGCGUAGGCGGGUUUGUAUGUCGGUUGUGAAAUCCCAGGGCUUAACCUUGGACAGUCAACCGAAACUGCAAGUCUUGGAUAUCUCAGAGGUUAGUGGAAUUCCAGGUGUAGGAGUGAAAUCCGUAGAUAUCUGGAGGAACACCGGAGGCGAAGGCGGCUAACUGGGAGUAUAUCGACGC